rnacentral:rRNA from 1 species
UACGUAGGGGGCAAGCGUUGUCCGGAUUUAUUGGGCGUAAAGAGCGUGUAGGCGGCCAGAUAGGUCCGUUGUGAAAACUCGAGGCUCAACCUCGAGACGCCGAUGGAAACCAUUUGGCUAGAGUCCGGAAGAGGAGAGUGGAAUUCCCGGUGUAGCGGUGAAAUGCGUAGAUAUCUGGAGGAACACCGGUGGCGAAGGCGGCAUCCUGGACCGGCAUUGACGCUGAGGAGCGAAAGCCAGGGGAGCAAACGGG